CACUCUUCCUCCUCUCUAGUUGGCCGAAUACCCCAUGUGAUUCUCUCUAAAUUUAUUUCAUCAAUUCCCACCUAAACACUCAUAUCUCAUCUCUUUCUUCUAUACAAAUAGCCUUAGGUUACUUGAGUUUUAGUUCGAAGUUAGAGAAAAAGCUAGAAGAAACUAGACUAUCACAGAAAUGUAGACAAAAGGCUAAACAAUGGUUCGAUGAGCUAGAAGUUACCUAGAUCACAACCAAGGUCAUUAAGAGGUAGGCAAUAGGGUUUCUUUUUGGCACACACAGUGAUGUGGGAAGCUCUGAUAUCUAGGCAUGUAUGAUGCAAGGUAUCCUAUGGGCGAUUAACGAUCAAGAUGAGCGCCAAGAAAGAUUAUGAAAUUAUAUGUUAUGGUCUAUGUUUUAUAUACAUCAGUGGGACUUAUUAUUUCUAUUUUAUUUUCAAAGACUGCAUAAAGAUGUGAGGAAAAUAUUUGUUGUAUCAAUGGAAAUUGUAAAAACUAUUACAACUCUAGACAAAAUAAUACAAAUAAA